rnacentral:tRNA from 4 species
GCCUGGGUAGCUCAGUGGUAGAGCACGUACUUGGUAAGUACGGGGUCGUGGGUUCAAUCCCCACCUCAGGCUCCA